GGAUUCCCCUAGUAACUGCGAGUGAAGCGGGAAAAGCUCAAAUUUGAAAUCUGGCGGUUUUUAACUGUCCGAGUUGUAAUCUAGAGAAGUGUUACCUGUGCUGGACCGUGUACAAGUCUCCUGGAAUGGAGCAUCAUAGAGGGUGAGAAUCCCGUCUUUGACAUGGACUACCAGUACAUUAUGGUGUGCUCUCAAAGAGUCGAGUUGUUUGGGAAUGCAGCUCAAAAUGGGUGGUAAAUGCCAUCUAAAGCUAAAUAUUGGCGAGAGACCGAUAGCGAACAAGUACCGUGAGGGAAAGAUGAAAAGAACUUUGGAAAGAGAGUUAAACAGUACGUGAAAUUGCUGAAAGGGAAACGCUUGAAGUCAGUCGCGUUGGCUAGAAAUCAGCCUUGCUUUUGCUUGGUGUACUUUCUGGUUGACGGGUCAGCAUCAAUUUUGACCAUUGGAUAAAGUCUUUGGGAAUGUGGCAUCCUUGGAUGUGUUAUAGCCCAUUGUCGCAUACAGUGGUUGGGAUUGAGGAACUCAGCACGCCUGCAAGGGCCGGGUUUCGACCACGUUCGUGCUUAGGAUGCUGGCAUAAUGGCUUUAAUCGACCCGUCUUGAAACACGGACCAAGGAGUCUAACAUGCCUGCGAGUGUUUGAGUGGAAAACUCAUGCGCGCAAUGAAAGUGAAAGUUGAGAUCCCUGAAAGGGGAGCAUUGACGCCCGGACCAGACCUUUUGUGACGGAUCCGCGGUAGAGCAUGUAUGUUGGGACCCGAAAGAUGGUGAACUAUGCCUGAAUAGGGUGAAGCCAGAGGAAACUCUGGUGGAGGCUCGUAGCGAUUCUGACGUGCAAAUCGAUCGUCAAAUUUGGGUAUAGGGGCGAAAGACUAAUCGAACCAUCUAGUAGCUGGUUCCUGCGA
rnacentral:rRNA from 1 species